GAUGAACGCUGGCGGCGUGCCUAAUACAUGCAAGUCGAGCGAACCACUUCGGUGGUGAGCGGCGAACGGGUGAGUAACACGUAGGUUAUCUGCCCAUCAGACGGGGACAACGAAUGGAAACGAUCGCUAAUACCGGAUCGGACGAAAGUUUAAAGGUGCUUCUGCACCACUGAGGGAUGAGCCUGCGGCGCAUUAGCUAGUUGGUAGGGUAAAGGCCUACCAAGGCGACGAUGCGUAGCCGACCUGUGUGGGUGAACGGCCAAACUGGGACUGAGACACGGCCCAGACUCCUACGGGAGGCAGCAGUUGGGAAUCUUCGGCAAUGGGCGAAAGCCUGACCGAGCAACGCCGCGUGAAUGAAGAAGGCCUUCGGGUUGUAAAAUUCUGUUAUAAGGGAAGAAUGGCUCUAGCAGGGAAUGGCUAGAGUGUGACGGUACCUUAUGAGAAAGCCACGGCUAACUACGUGCCAGCAGCCGCCGUAA
rnacentral:rRNA from 1 species